CCACUAUAGCACAUAAACACUCUAUCCUUGUUUACAGCGAGCCUUACAAACCAUUCACAUGGAACAGCUUAGCACCAUACUACAACACAGACACCCUGCGUUACAUUAUAAAGAUGCCGGUCAACGUACGUAGAGGUUACAACAGCCGAGCUACUGCAUGUGGACUUGUUGAUCCAGAGGUAUCAUGGAAAAUGGACCAUUGCCUCACACCGUACACCCCAUCAAGACCAGAGUUAUUCCGUCAUCACUAUAGUCGACGCAGGACAAAAUCCGCAGCACCGCGUUUGAUUACCACCGACCCGACAAUGGUGAACCCUCGUUUUCCACGCGUGCCAUUAGCGUACAGUGUGGGAGCCUCUGGGAAAAGUUCUCCAAGGCCACCAUCAAGAAAGCAAGCUCAAACUGUCCAUUAAACUAUUGGUUUAAUGAUCAAAUUAUUGCACUUAUUCUAUAACUACAUAUGCGUAGUUGACUGUGUAUUAUGUUCAUUAUCAGCGCUUCAUAUAUAGCUUUUAUACCGUUUUGAACCUUAUAUAUAAAGUAUUGUAUUUUAUGGCUAACUGAAAUUAUUAUAUAGUAGGGUGGGGGAGAAUGGGACACCUUUUCGUUCUAUUUUCUCGUACCAUUUGGUAGUAAACAAAGAGAAUUCAAAGAAUUACAAAAUUUACCCUCACGACUUUCAUAGACCGUUGUUAAUUGUUUAAAACAUGACAUUUGAAUAUUAUGUGCUAAAGCCAAAAGGAAAGGUGUCCCGUCUUCCCCCACAAUACUCUAUUGUUUUUCUGAAUUCAGUGAACGAAAAUAAAUUGCUCUUCAAAAA